AUGAGGAUGCAAUGUGAAGACUUCAGGCACCUCCCAGAUUCUGUCCUCAAGCGACCAGCUGGACUACAGAUCACCUCAGUGAGGUGGUUAAAAGUCACAGUUGAGGAUCCUUGGAAUCUGUACGCCAGACAGAGACACAGUCUAUUUGAGGGAUGGAAAUCGUGGCUGAUCUCCAAACCAAAACAAGGAGCUACACCUCAACCUCCCUAUUUUGCAAGCCACUACCCUAGAGCAUAUGAGAGUCCUCUGCCCAUCAAAAAAAACAAGUACCAAGAUCUGAUGACCAUGCUCAACUACUUGCCAGCUGCUGCACGCUCUUUUUAUGAAUCACUGCAGAGUGAAUAAUUUGUUGUUAAACCAAGCUACAUAAUUUUCCGUUUUUUUCUGUGAGUUUAUGAUCCCCUGAACCUGUAUAGUAUGUUGAAUCUGUAUACAUUUCAGAAGACAUGUCACCCCUAUUGUAGGAAAUUAAAUGUAUCGUAGGUGUUUUCUAUGUGAAUCAAUUUGUGUAUGAUUUGAACCAGCACAAUAUAUUGAAUGAAUUUAAUUUUAAGAUGUUGUUCCUAGUGUAGAAAAUGUUAUGUACAAUGUGUUCUGUUGAGAAUUAUUUUGUGUGUGAUCAUUUGGACCUUUUUUAAUCUGAAUGAAUUAAAAACAAAUAAGUCAUCACAUACAGUAUGUGAGUAUUCAUUUGAUCUUGAUUCCCUUUUUUUAUUCAUUACAAUAUACAGUGUCUCUCUGUCACCACAUUUAGCAUUAACUCUAAGCAGUUAAUACUUAUUUACUGCUGUCACCUCAGUACAGAAGGACAUGUCUUGCCUUUAGCAUGGGUUUAACGCAAUUCACAACAUAAUUGCUGAUCAUAGUGUUAAACACAAAGAGAAUGGUUUUCUGAACGUUUUGUAAUAUUGACCUUAGGGACCUGCAUAAUGGACAUGCAUAUUGACACAUCACAUUGAUCCAUAUUUGAUAUUUACAAGUUGUGCUUGUUUUGAUUUAAUUAAUUUAAUUGUAUUCUAUUUUUGUAGUUCUAUGGUAUGUUCACAUUGAGGGCUUCAUUUUAAAUGAGACUAAGAUUUCAUGACUCAACUUUUAAGAAUAGUCAUCAGUGCUAAAGUUGAUAGACCACCUUUAAAUGAACCUCCAUACAAAUGAAUUAACUACAUAUUGCAUUUAAGUUAUUUACAUGAAGGGCAUCUGUACUUGAAAGUACUUAAAACAUCACAUCAGGUGUUAAAAAAAGGACAUCUUACAAGAGUCAUGCAAAAUGUCACAUAUACUGUUCUUCCGCAAACUGAAAUCAUCACUGGAGAUAUACUGUUCUUCCACAUUCUAAAAAUUAAAACGGCAAUAAAAAAAAUAUUAUUUGAAAUAACAAAAAAAUAUAAAUUGUUGUUGGAAGAUAUGGGUAUGGUGAAUUAUUUGUCAACCAUAAAACACCUAAUGUGGUACACAUUAUUAAUAAUGUAAAAAUAACUGAUUAUCUUAAAAUGGAAAAAUUGUCACAUAUAUGGUUCUUCGUCUGUAGGAUUCAACUGAUUGGCUCAAACUCAUUAAGAAGGAAAGAAAUUCCACAAAUGAACCUUUAACAAGGCAGGCAACCUAGUGGUUAAAGCACUGAACUUGUUACCGAAAGAUGACAAGGUAAAAUUUGUCAUUCUGCCCCUGAACAAGGAAGUUAACCCACUGUUCCUAGAAUUUGUUCUUAACUGACAUGCUUAGUUAAAUAAAGAUAAAAUAAAAUAAAAAUACCUGUUAAUUGAAAUGCGUUCUAGGUGAAGCUGGUUGAGACAAUGCCAAGAGUGUGCAAAGUUGUCAUCGAGGCAAAGGGUGGCUAAUAUGGAAUGUCAAACACUUUUGUUGAACACUUUUUUGCUUACUACAUGAUUCCAUAUGUGUUAUUUAAUAGUUUUGAUGUUUCACUAUUAUUAUAAAAUGUAGAUAAUAGUAAAAAUGAAGAAAAACACUUGAAAUAGUAGUUGGGUCCAAACUUUUGACUGGUACUGUAUGUUAUUUUACUCAAGCUAUGACGUUGAAACAAUGACAUUGAUUCAAACAUACCAUUUUCCUAUUUAAAACAAUUAGUUUAGUUUUGAUUAGAAUUAUUUGUUCUCUUUUUAGGCUUCAUCAAUAAUGAAUUUUAUCUUGCCUAUUGACAAUAUUUGGCAUGUCCAUGCUCAGCCAUAAUGCAGUUUACAGUAGGCCUAGCCCCUAUAUCAGUGUGAAUGAGAUUGAGUCCAUGCAAUUACUUAGAACAAUGUGCAAACUGGUUCUAGUUAGCCUAUUUAACAUGACUAACAUGACUAACAUUAGAAUUGGAGUUGAUUCCAUGGCAAUACAUAAAAAACUGUAAAUACACAACCUCAAGCAACCACAUAUUUCGCCAUGGAGCAUGUUCUGAUUGGCCAGUGAGGGGCCAAGCCUCGACACACCCACAACUUUUUAAUUAAUCAAAACCCAGCCCAACUCCAGCAAGUGAGCCAAUAAUUAUGAUAGGGAAAAUAGCAAAAAUAUUUUUGACACAACCCUGAACCUGUAGCAAUAUUACCUGUGCUUAGAUUUACCAUUGUGUUUGGUUUGUUAAAAAAAUUAUCUCGGCAUUGUGACCAGAUUUCCUGGUCCUUCCAUGGGCAGGUAGCGUAGUGGUUAAAGCGUUGGACUUGUAACGGAAAGUUUACAAGAUCAAAUCCCUGAGCUGACAAGGUAAAAAAAAAAACUGUUGUUCUGCCCCUGAACAAGGCAGACUGUUCCUAGGCCGUCAUUGAAAAUAAGAAUUUGUUCUUAACUGACUUGCCCAGUUAAAUAAAUUAAAGAUAUUGUUUCAAAAUAAUGUCAUGCUUAGUCAAUCAUUUUACUUUUGCUAAAGUAUAUUGAUGAGUUAAAUUGUUUGACCAACCAGAUCUGCACACUUGUAAGAUGUCCAGAUACAAUGCAGUGUAGGCCGUCAUUGUAAAUAAGAAUUUGUUCUUAAUAACUAACUUGCCUAGUUGAAUAAAGGUUAAAAACAAUUAUACAAAAUAUUCAAUGCAUGCCUGACUACCUCCGGAUGUGGUCAGAAAGAUCUGAAUACAAUUAGUUCACAAUAUGUAUUUUGAUUGUCUACACCUGUCAAAAAAUGUGGACGCAAUCAGAAUGUUGACAAGAUCACGACAAAGGACGCAUGUUAGCACCAGACUUUGUCAUCUGGGUUCAGGAAGAGAGUGAGGAUGUUGGGCUAUGGAUAAUGUGGGGUGAUUAUUGAUAUUUUUGUCUUUAAUCUUCACUGAUUGAGACUGAAAUGUCCUUCAAACACUCAGAGCCACUCCAGCUGUGUCAUCCCCAAGGCUUAGACGAAAGGUUCAGCAUCAGUGUGUGUGUGUGCGUGCACACGUGUGUGUGUGUGAUCCCACUUCAACUGUUGUCUGCUAAAAUACAUACUGCAUAUCUCCCAUGAUGACAUGUCUGUAAAACAAAAGCUCAAUGACGGAGACACACUUCCUCCUGGUAAGGGUCAGUGUCCUUUGUUUCACCCCUAAUGUCAAAACCUUGCUCAUAAUAAAUUAACCCCUGAUUAUAAAUGAUCUUGUUUCUUUCUAUAAACAAGUUUCCACAUCGGUAAAAGUAGUGAUGAAAGUGUCUAUUACCCUGACUGAUUUGUAUACAGUACAUCUUAUUUGCUUAGUGCCAUAUGGGGCAGGAGAAAAUGUUUGCAAAUCCUGAUCGCAUUUGGUAAAAACAAUGAUGAAGUGCUGAAAGAUAUAUAGUACUCUGACUGACUUGCCAUAUGGACCAGAAUGAGAUAUUUGGACAUUUUGGUGCUCAAAUAGUGAACAAAAACAGUUACCAUCCCACUCAACCUUAAACUUAAAUGUCUCUUUUUGGUGUUUAAAAUAAACAAUUAGAUCCCCACAAUGACUGGUGAUAUGCACACAAAGGAAAGAGACAAUACGUUUUUUUUAAUGCUUUAUUUCAUGCUUAUUACAGCAGGCAGGGUCAUUUUAGUGCAAAAAUAAGGCCAUGGAAAUGUGACGAUGUCAUUGUAAUCAAUGACGAUAUACACUUAAAUGUAUAAGUGUGCCAUUUGCAGUCGCUAUCAUCAUAUUUUAACUUUAAAGAUAUAUAUUUUUUGUUAUACACGGUGUACAUAAUUUACUGGUCAAUUUCUAACAGAAUAUAUUCCAAGUGGGCAAACUCAUCUCUCUCUAUUCACUCUAUAGGUUACAAUGAGUUAUGACAGGGCAUGCAACCUGGAUUGCAAUGUUACAAAAAUGUACAUUUAACAAAGCAAGAAGAGAAACUAAACUGGGCAGCCGAAGGUUGUGAUCUGGUUGAUGAACUCAUCAAUGCCCAGACAGACUUCUCUGUAGUUUCUGGAUGUGCACUCUUGUUGUGAGGGCCAGUACUCUAUCCAUGUCUGUUCUCCUAGGACACCACCGUAGUGCUGCGGUUGACAUCUGGCUCAUCUUUCUUCUGCAUACUGCAGCUCUCUUCCGCACACGUGCACACAUCUCCAAGAGACAGUCUGCUCAGAGGACCACCUUCCCUCUGUGGGUGGUAGAACUUCACACAGUUCUUCUGGUUGUAGUAUUCAUAUACAGAGACGGCAGCUGGCUGUAGAACUCCCACUUCCUGUACUCUGUGGAUCUUAAAGGAUAUUUUGUCUUCUAACUCACGAGACACCUUGUCCAGAUAUAGGAUGAGAGAUCCUCUUUCAGACAGAACUUUGUCCAUCUCAAACUUCUCUAUGUAGCGCUCCCUCCCCUUGGACAACUGAUUCAGAUCGUCUGUGUCCACAAUGAAGCCGGUCAGCAAGCUGAUGUCCAGAAUAGACAUGGUCGCAUCUCUCUCUGAGUUCUUAUACAACACCUCAAUAUUGAGCAUAAAUGACUCCUUGGCGUCCUCGUGACUUGUUUUGUCCAUCUUAGUGAGGGUGACAGAGAGGUCAAAGCUUUCACAGUCACUGUCCUUUUCCUCUGGCAGGGCAUAGUACAGUG
rnacentral:lncRNA from 13 species